UUGCUUUGUGUCUGCCUUUUCUAUACCUUUGCAUUAACACUAUGCAGCUGUGUUCCCUUCUGUGCUCUCUUGUUGCUGCCUAUGAGGUUCGUUUGGUUGUUCAUACAGCACAGCUUACUUGUAACUGCUAUUUAGUCCUCUGGGUGCCACAGUGCUCAGUCAGUUCUCAUGUUGACAGAUACUUGGCAUGCCUAGGCUCUGAUCAAGCGGCCAGUGUCUUUAGGAACGCUCUGUCCAUGUAGUAGGUGAGCAUUAGCACCUGCCAGCGAAAUGGUUGAAGUGCUGGUGUCCCAAAACUCAUAAUCCUCCUAAAGUCAUAUUUAUGUCACUUAAAAACACAACAGGAAAAGGUGCUUAUCUCAAGACCCUAGAGCACUAAGUUUGGUCCCCAGAACCCAUAUAAAGGUGUGUGGGAGACAACUGUCUCCACAAAAUUGCUAACACACGGGCCAUGGUGCUGUUGACCCCCUACUAAUAAAUAAAUAAAGUUUAAUCUAUUAAAAAUCUAUGUUCACCAAAUAAGCGUUUAACAGGAAAAUGUCAUCCAUUGUUCUAAUACUCUACAGUAAAAUAUCAUCCGGCACCCCCCUUUUGUGUUUUUGUUUUGUUAUCCACAGUAUUUCCCCCUUUAGUUAAUUUUCCAUGUUCCCUUUCACAGAUUUAUCCUAUUGGUCAAAAUGCUCUUCUUUGUGUUUUUUAGGAUGUUCUUUUUCUGCUCCUACCCAUUUUCCAAUGGCUAAUCUCCUUCAACAUUCUGCUACAGGGCUGAGAGACAGCAGCCCAAAUCCCAUGCCAAGAAAUUCCCCGUAGAUGUGUGUGGUGUCAACUGUGUGAUUGGCCUUUGGGGACUGGCGGAUACCGAGUCUGUUGACCUCUCUGUCUGUUUCCUGAGGGGAGGCAGAUUGCACCUGGACAUACUCAGUGUUUCCCUGGAGUUAUUCAUGGAAGCCAAAGAAUAAUUUUUAAAUAGAAACCCGGCACAGGAAGGCAUCCGUGACCAGGCCUUCGGUCUGCUUGCCACUCCCUGCUGAAACCAGGUGCUGUCACUGGCAGAGCUUCCAAGAGCGGGCCAGAGCUUCCAAAACCUGGCCAAAAGAAAACCCUCCAAAAAGUGAGGACUUAGGGAUGGAAUAGACCUGCUGAGUGCCUGUGAGGCCAGAGAUGUUUGCAUUUGGGCCUGGUCCCUCUGGGCUAAAUGUUGUUUUUCUCUGUGGCCUCUACAAUUUUAGUUUCUGAGGGUCUCUGGAGGUUGAUGAAUGGAAAGGUGCUCUGGGCAGUAACUCCUUCAGUUUCGUUGGCAGGCUCCUCUUGGCCCCAAUCCAAAAGGAAAGCAUUUAAAAAGCCGCUGCCUGGGUGGCACCCAGUGCUCCUUAAGGGCUGACGCCCGCAAGUGGCCUGGGCAUCUGGCUCUUCAUAGCUUCCCAGAUGACUCUAACCAUGAGGCCAAAGCCCAGAAGCCACCCAAGCUGACCAGCUCAGCUAUCAAGAAAGCCUACGCUGUUUCCUGCUGUGCUACCAUUGGCUGAAGUCCACCACGGACCAGGCUGGCCACUGAGCUCUGGACACACUGGUCCACAUUGGUCAAUCUUGGACUAGUGAUAAGGCAACACAGGCUCAGAGAGGUGAAGGGACUAAUUCAGGUCUAGACAGCCAAGUUCAGGUUUGAAUCCUGAGGCUUUGACUCCGGUGACCACUGUGUGCACAUCUGCACUCAGAUGCCGCAUGAUUAGAAACUUGACAGCAAUUCAAUUUUUUAAGACUGAAGUAACAAACAGACAGCAAGUCCACCUCACCCAAUCCACUAGGUGCAUUGCAUUCAACCUUCUCUUGUCCUUCAUUUCCAUUGGUUGUGGGGAUGGAACUGUGGCCAGGAAUGGUGAGACUUAGACUGGAGGGAAGAGGCUUGGAGAAAGAAGGAGGGCUUUGGGAUCUGCUUGCUUCCCUUCUUGGGUUCCUGCUGAUCCCAGGGGAGCCUUUGGAACAAGAGCAGCUUCACAGCUCUGAAUUACCUUACAAUAGAGUGCAUGUAAUUACAAAAGCACAAAAUAAACAAAAAGCCAACAAGUUAAAUCGCUAAGUGUUUCUUCUUUUCUUACCUUCACUUUAACAAGAAGUUAAGGCUGCAUCUGCUGUCAGAGUCAAACAUUAGUAAGAUGUGUUUAAGGAGAAUAAAAGGUCAAACCACAGCUGGGAGAAAUGUUUGCAAAAGACAACGUGAUAAAGGACUAGUGUCCAAAGUAUACGAAGAACUCGAAAAACUCAACAGUAAGAAAACAAACAACCCAAUUAAAAAACGGAACAAGGACUUGAACAGACACCUCACCAAGAAAGACAGACAUACGAUUGGCAAGUAAGCAAAUGGAGGCAGGCUCCACAGUAAUGUGUCAUCAUGGAAACAAAAAUUAAAGCUGCAAGAUACCACCGCUUGCCUAUCACAACAGCAAAACUCCAGAACACUGACAGCACCACACAUCCGCAAGGAUGUGGAGCAGCAGAGUCGACAUUCACCGCGGUAGGAAUGUGAAAAUGGGUUUGCUGUUACUGAUCUCUUUGAGUCAGAGCCUCAUGCAGCCCAGGCUGGCCUCUAGCUUGCUUUGUAGCUGAGGCUGUCCUUUAACUGAUCCUCUUGCCUCCACCCCCAGCCCCCACCCAAGUACUGUGAUUACAGGCAUGCACCACCAUGCCCAGCUAAACACCAUUAUUUCAAUAAACAUGUACAGGCCCCAGCAAGCAAGCAGAAGGGUCCACAGGAUAAGCAGGAAUGUGAGAUGGUAGGACUGCUUCAGAAGACAGUUUGACAAAUGCUUAAAAAGAUAAAAAUUAAACAUACUCUUAUCCUGUGACCUGGAAAUCACACACUUUGGUUUUUACCCAAAGUAACUGAAAACUCAAGUCUACGCAGAGAUCUGCAUGUAAUGCUCAUAGGGCUUCAUUCUCAAUUGUCAAAAUGUGGCAAUAGCCACGCUAUAUACUUUGAUAGGUGGAUGGUGGAAGAAACAUUGGUACAUCCAGAUUAUAGAAGGCUAUCCAGUGUUACAAAGAUAUGAGGCUGAGGUUUUAUGACAGGAAAAAGACACAAGGAACCUUUCAAGCACACCCAGGGAAAGAAGCUAUCUUCACAUGCUACAGUCUCCCAUGACGUCAGUGAGCUAAGGGUCUACAGAUGGCAAAAGCACGGGCGUGUCAGUGAACCAGUGGUUACUACAGCUGGAGAGGAAAGAGGGACACAGGGGCAGAUCACAGAGAGUGCUGAGACAGAGAAGCCACCAUGCAUGAUAGAGGUGACAAUGGAGGACACAUUAUACAUUUGUCCAAACCUCAACACCAAAAGUGAGCUUUAAACUAUGGGCUCUGAGCAGCCACAGUGUGUCAGUCUAGGUCCCUCGAGUGUAAUAAACACAGUGUUCCAGACAGGGUGUUGAUAGGGAAGGUGUGUGCCUGUGGGAGCAGGAGAGAUGUGGAGAAUGCAUCUCCUCUUCAUUUUGCUGUGAACCUAAAACUAAAGCAAUGGAUUUUUUAAAAAAAAUUAAGCAGUGUAGUGGAAUCUCUAUUCUUAACUGUCUUUUCAUUUUUUGGUGUGUGUGUCAGGGAGAGGCAGGGUGGGAGGGACGGGACAGGGCACUGGGUAUUAGGACCACAGUCCCUGUUUGUCUCUCUGCUUCCAGCCACCAGGAGCGAGCAGCUUCCUCUGCCCUGUGCCCCCACUAUAUUUACUGCCUCACUACAGACCCAAGUGCAGUCCGGUAAGUGAGCAGAGACUGUGAGCCAAAAUAAACUUGUGUCCUUGAUUGCCUCGGGUACUUUGUUACAGUGGCAGAAAGCUGACUAACGCAACUGCUUACAAUAAAGCACAGGAACUUGUCCUCACUCUCUGCCAGUGUCACUGUCCUUUCUCAGUCCCAGGAUCCUGACCUGCAGCCACCCCGAAGAGCCACACCUCUCAAGUACUGGACCAACUCCUAGGAGUGGAUUGGGAUGAGGAAUCAGAGACUACAAUCAGCAGGGAGUUCUGGUGUUCCUAGAUGCCUUGACCUAGAACAAAUUUCUUCACUUCUUUAAAUCUGUGUUUCCUCUUCUGUGUAAUGAGGACAAUAAUCGUAUUGUUUCCUGUAUGGAGGACUAUUGCACAUUCAAUGGGAAAUGAAUGUCAAGCCCUGCCACAGUUAGCUUUUGAUAACUAUGAUUAUGCCUAAAAGCUUGUUCCAAGGUGCCUUGCUCUCAUUGAAUGCCCAUUGAUGCCUCUGACCAGCACCUUGGCUCCAGCAGUGCUCUGAUUUUAGAGAGGAUGAAGACUAUAUCUGGUCCCCUGAGUGCCCCCAGCCCAGUUUCCAUGAAAGCUGGCUGUGUCUUUGGCCCCACCCUCUCUGUGCUGGAGUUUCACUGUGGAAACACUGCUGUUUGUGGCUGCAGGGCAGCUCACAGGUGGCCUCUACAAACUCUGGAACUGUGCCUGUGUCUUACUAGUUGACUUUCUGCUCCAGCUUCUAUGAAGUGGUCCAGCACUCGGGAGUAACAAAUAAAAAUUGAACUGAAUCGUUCUUAGAAACGUUGGGGUGGCUUAUUUUGGAAUUGUGAAAAUUGAUUAUCCUAAAAGUCUCUGCAGCAGCAACUUUUGGCCCAUCCAGCCCAAAGAAGGUAUUGCUGAUGCCGGGUAGAACCCCUGACCUGGACCCCUCUAAGACAAACAUGCAUCCAGUCAAGACCUGGGCCAAAAGGAAGACACACAUAGGUGAUCACAGAAGACCUUGACCGUGUUUAUUUGCAGGCAGGGGAUGACACUGGAAACCCCGAGAUGCAGAAGGUACUUGCUACUUAGGCUGAUGACACCACGGCGAUUUGGAUGAGACUAUAAUCAUUAGUACAUCUUACUGCUUCACAGGGCGAUGAGAUAGGAAACAGAACCCUGCUCAAUGGCUUUCAGCUGUACCUGGGCUCUUGUUUAUAGGUGCGCGUGUGCGUUUUCUCAAGCUUAAACUUUCAGAGUUAUGUAACCCUUCCCCUUGGCUAGCCACCAGACUUCCAGAUUAGCUGGAGGUUUCCUGUGCAAGUUGGGAGUUGGCAUGGGCAGAGCCAUGUGACCGUGGUGCUUCCUGGGUCUGGUAGGGGCUGCCCUGUAAGGAAGGGCCUGUCUGUGUUGUGGGUCAGAAGAUAAUAUCUAGCAGGCAGAGUAUGAUUCCUGACCCAGAAGAAUUCAGACCAGCAGUCAUUGUCAGUUCUCAAGCUGGAGCCAUCUAAAGUUAGAUGAGAAAAAAAAAAAAAAAAAAAAAAAAAAAAAAGACCCAUGCAUUGGUAGGAACUACUUAAAAGAAAAUAAAACAUUCCAGUUAUUCAAGGUCUCAUGUAAAUGGUGGUUCAACACUGUCUGGACAGGAGCUCUGUGGUUCCUGGAAGCAGUGUGUGGUAGAGCUCAGGUCCCGAAGGCCUCCCCUUCCUGUUGUCUAUCUCCUUCUAGCCACUGAUGAAUACCAGUGCUCUGGCUCCUUCUGUUGGGGUUUUGAUAUGGUGAGAGGGAGAUGAUGUGUCCACCAGACAUUCCAAACCUCUGUGUGUGGUGAUUCAUUUUACAUGGCGUCUUGGCCAAGGUGUCCAGAUGUUUGGUUUAAGCUCAUUCUGGGUGUGUCUAUAAAGAUAAAUUUGGGCUGUUUUAUUUCAUUUUGUUUGGGAUGAUACUAACAUUUAAAUUGUUGGACUUGAUGUAAAACUCUGUUUGUUGUUUAUAGCAUGGGUGGGUCUCUUCCAAUCAGUUGCAGGCUUUAGCAGAACAAAGCUCUAAGGAGGAACUCUGCCUGAAGACUGCUUUGGAGUUGUGUGACUUUUCCUGGGGAAAUGUGAACCAAUGUCUAUUAAUUUAGAUAGGGCACUGACAACUGACCAAAACAAUGCUUCCACUGAAGUCCAGCUUGGAGUUUGUUAUCGUUACUUACAGGAGUAUUGGUAAGGCGCUACUUACUGAAGCAUGGCUGACUCAAAGGCAUCUGCACCACCGAAAAGCUCCCCACAACACAAGACAUAGCCCUGGAGCUCCCUGCCCAACUUCUCCCCAGCAAUGACUGCUUAUAUAACCUUAUCUUUUAAGUUUCAGGCACAUUCUGAGAAUUUUGAGUUGUUUGCUUCCUCAACCUUGUAAGUUUUGUUAAUUUCCUGAGUCUGAAGGAGCCUCCCUUCUGAAUGGGAAGUUUCAAUUGGAAGGAAAUUACUAUACAGCAGGGCUCUGACUGAAACUCUUCCCAGGGUAUCCAGCUCCCACCCACCCCGAAGGCUUUGGACUUGAACCUCCUCCAUCAUCUGAGCUAACAAGAUAUUUAUUUAUAAAUAUUCAUAACCUAAUAGAUAUGUAUGUAUAAAUGUCUAUACACAUCUGAUCCAACACACACACACACACACACACACACACACACACACACACACACACACAUUCAAGUACCCUGAUGAAGGUGAACUAUCACGUUUCCUCUAAAACACAGAUUAGCUUGGCCUUCCAGCUUCCCAGGAACCUCUCUGACUCCUUUCCCUAAAAUUCCCAGUGAAAGGCUGUAGAACCACAAAACACCAGCCAGGCAAGUUCCUCCAAACACAGAGGUCCAUUAGGCAUUCUUGCUUCUUUGCCUUCUUAGAGUACAGAGAAAGACAGCCCCAGCACAUGGGGAGCACAGGAAUUUUGCAAUCCAAGGGAAACAUCAAGUGCAGGACUUUCCCUGCCACUCUGAUAGUAUCCCCUUUCCCUAUUUAUACUGAGAACUCAACCUGGACCCUCACACAUGUCAGGUGAGAGUUGAGCCACUGAGCCAAUCCCCAGGCCCAUAGGGUCCCAUUAAAAGUGCCACUCACAGCUGGGCAGUUGUGGCACCCACCUUUAAUUCCAUUAUUUAGGAGGCAGAGGCAGAAGGAUCCCUGAGAGUUUGAGGCCAGCCUGGUCUACAGAUCGAGUUCCAGGACAGGCUCCAAAGCUACAGAGAAACAAGUGCCACUCACUUAAAGAGCCACCAUGUGGUCCUGGGAAGAGGACACCAGUGGAAGGCAUCCUUGAUAAGAUAAGUCUUAUAAAAUAUAUAGAUUUAUGAUAAUUAAGACUGAGCUAGCAUAUAAGAAAUCCUAGUCAAUUGGCCAGGGCAUUGUAAACUAAUAUAAGACUCUGUGUGUUAUUCUGGGUGCCCUCGUGGCAGCGGGGUUCAGGCGGAUGGAGUAAAGACUUAUCGUUACACACAUGCAUAUGUUCAUAUUUUUUUUUGUUUGUUUGUUGGGGAGGUUGUACUGGGGAUGGAUCCCAGGGCCUUAGGUAUGGUAGACCACUGAAUUACAUGCUCACCGUGAAUGUUAUACUUUAUUAGCAGUUCCCAUUUGAUAUAAAUGAGGCUUUGUUUCUGCUAUUUCACUAUUCUAGACUCCACAGCACGGGUUCAGAGCUGUGACAAAAAGGACUGAGAACAAUAGAAGGAAAAAGGGAUUUAGUUUGACACUUGGUUUCAGAGAUUUCAGCCCAUAACCCUGGCUCUGUAGGUUCUGGAGCUGUAUGACUCAGAACAUCAUGGUGUCGAGAGGCUACUGGUGCUGAGCUAGAGGCAGAGACAGCUGUAGUGGUCAGAGGUACACCCCAGUGGCCUGCCUUCUCUAGUGAGCUCCCUAAUGUUUCCACCAUCUCCACAAACAGUGCCACCAGCUGGAAACCAAGACCUUGACACAUGGCCCCAUGGGGACAGUUCAUAUUUCAACCCUAGCAAUAUCUUUUGGGUAUGUGACUGAUUAUCUACUUGAAGAGAGAUUCCUAGAACUUAGAAUGUUGGGUUAGAGGGUGUGGUAGUUUGGAGGAAAAUGGCUCCCAAAGGAAGUGGCACUAUUGGGAGGUGUGGCUUUGUUGGAGAAAGUGUGUCACUGUGGAGGCUGGCUUUGAGGUCUCAUAUACGCUUAAGUUUCACUCAGUGUGAUACAGAGUCCCCCUUCCUGUCGUUGCCUUCUGAUCAAGAUGUAGCCAGCACCAUGUUGGCCUAUAUGCUGCUGUGCUCCCUGCCACGAUGAUAAUGGACUGAACCUCUGACACCGUAAGCAAGACCCCAAUUAAAUGUUUUCCUUUAUAAGAGUUGCUGUGGUCAUGUGUCUCUUCACAGCAAUAGAAACCCUAACCAAGAUAGAGGGAAAUUUUAUUUUUAAUUUCGAUGUAGGUUGUGUUUUAUUCUGUCCUGAAGAGUUUAACUUCAGCAUCAGCACACAGAAGUGUCUACUUCCCCAAAUGCUUGCCAACACUGGGCUAGGAGAUUCUUUUUAAACUUUGCCAAUCUGGUGAACCAGUAUACAUAGGAGCCUUUAUCUGUUGUUUUUGAUGACUUGGGAAAUUGGGCACCGUUCUUAUAUCCAUUGGCCACAUCUCUUCUUGUGUCCUUUUUGAAUCUUUUCUGAAAGGGCAUUCUUGUUUCAUUUCUCACUUGUGAAAGAACUUUAAUUCUUUAAAAAAAAAACAAACAUAUAUUUUUACUUAUUUUUUGGCAGUAUUGAGUGUGACCCAAGGCCUUGGGUCUGCUAGGCAAGUGAAGUACCACUGAGCUGUACCCUCAGACCUUACCCUUCCAUAAUGCAUAGUUCAGCAGUGGGGACACCACUCACAUUACCCCUCUGUGAAUGCAGUUAAGUCAUGGGGAUACACUCACAUUCUUGUGAAACAAUUCCUUAGGACAUAUUCAUCUUGUCAAACUAGAACUAUAAGCCCACUGAACAAUAACUGCCCAGGCCCUUUCUUCUACCCCUGGUGGGAACCAUUCUACCUUCUAGCUCAGAAUUUGACUCCUCUGGCAUUGCGUCUAAGCAAAACCAGACAGUGUUUGUGUAGUUUGAGGCUGAAUCUUUUCACUUAGCACAAUUUCCUUAGAUUUAUCCAUGUUGUAGUAUCAGAAGUUCUUCCCUUUUUUUUAAAGGGUGAAUAAUUCCUGUGUGUGUGUGUGUGUGUGUGUGUGUGUGUGUGUGUGUGUGUGUGUGUGUCUGUGUCUGUGUGUGUGUGUGUGUGGUGUAUGUGUACUGUGUGUAUGUGUGUGUACACUCAAGUGCAUGUGUAUGGCGCUGUGCCCAUGUGGAGGUCAGAACGCAAUCCUCUUGAAUGAGUUCUCUCCUUCUACCAUGUAGAUCCAGGGGAUCUAACUCAGUUUGUCAAGCCUGGAAGCAAGCUCCUUUACCCAGUGAGCCAACCCACACAUCAUUUUAGCUUUCACGAAAGAAAGCUUUUCUAUUGAGUAUAUCUUGGAAUAUAAUUACUCAGUCAUAGGUAUGUAUAUGUAGUUUUCUGAAGUCACAGGCUUUGCACAGCUUCCCAGACUGUAUGGGAAUCCUAUAUACUCAUCCACAAUGAACUCUUCUGCGGGUGGGCACUUUGCACUGGAGUGGAGCUGACCCUAUUUCAGUUGCGUGUUGGCUAUUUGUAUAUUCUCUGGCGGUGUGUGCUAAGUUGUUGUUGUUGUUGUUGUUGUUUUAAAUAGUGUUCCCCAUUUUUUCCUUGGCAACUUAAAGGGCCUCUCCUCUCCUCUGUGUGAAUGAGUCCUUUGUCAGAACCAUGAGUUUCUGUCAUCAUGGCUGGCUCUCCACUCUUACAAUGGCUUCUUCCAGUAGGCAGACAUUCUUCUUCUUAAUGGAUUCUAAUUUAUGAAUUUUUGUUAUGGUUCUCACAUACAUUUAAGAGUCUCAUAGCCUCCACUAUUGCUGAGACACUCCUGUGUUCUGUUUGAAAACAUAAUCAACCUCCUUUUCCUGUUUUACAUCGACAAACCCAUGUGGAUAUUUAUUUUACAUGUAUUUAUUAGUCUAUAUGCAUGCUUGUGUGCACAGGUGCAUACCAUGGUGUGCAGUUGUGGAGGUCAGAGGACAACUACCCAGAGUCAGCUCCCUCCUUCCACCCUGUGAGGCCUGGUGACCUAACCCAGGGCUUCAGGCCUGGCCCCCAGAGCCUUUACCCACUAAGGCAUCUUUCUGGCCCUAGAUGAAUUGGGGGGGGGGGAAAUGUUGUUGAGACAGGGUCUUGCUACAUUGGCCAGGCUGGCCUCUAACUUCUGGACUGUAGUGAUCCUCUUGCUUUCAUCUCUGUGGUAGAUCAUAUUACAGGUGUACAACAUGACCAGUUUGGGGCUUGCUGUGUUUGUUUGUCUUUAAUGAUUUUGGAGAAGAGAUGAAGAGGGUUCAUUUGUUUAUUUUUGUUUAUUUUGGCUCUUUUACCAUAUAGUUUUUCCACAGCACCUUGUUUGUCAUCAGCCAAGGGGCCUGGCUGGUUUCUACAGUCUCCAUUCUGUUCCAGUCCUCUUUCUCAGGAGUGUUCAUGCCUCAGACUGUUCCCACAGACAACUUUCUGAGGGUCAGCCUGUCAUUUUCAUGUGCAAACAAAGGAGAACAAAGCCCAGAUCACCUGAUAGGGAUGAUGUUUGUGAUCUGCAUUGAAUCUGCGGAAUGGUUUGGGGAGAAACUGAUAUUUUUCCCAUAUUAUAUCCUGCAAUGAUUCAGAUAAUCCUUGGAUUUCAAAUUUUCUUUAUUGUUUUCAAAUAGUUUGUUGCUUUCUACAUUGCUUGAUAAUAUUUUAUUUUAUUUAAGUCUAUCUAAAAUGUUAUCAACUUUCAAAUUUAAUUUCCCAAUGAUUUGUUGUGACUAUUAUGAAAGAAAAAUGAUUGACUUCAUAGCAAGAAUCUUAUUGUUUCCCAGACUUAGGGUGGGACUUCCCACCUCGAAAGAUCCAAUCAAGAGACUCCCUCAAAAGCAUGCCCAACUGCUUGAGUUCUAGUUGACUCCAGAUGUAAUCAAGUUUACAACCACACCUUGUGUGUGCAAAAUGGUGCAAGCUCUUAGUGAUGUCAGUGUUUCCAAAGAUGAUUUGCUUAGCUUCUUCUGGGUAAAGGGAAAAAGGCUUUAAUGCGGUUUGAAUAAGAAUGUCCCCCUUAGGCUCACAUAUUUGAACAAUUGGUUUCUGCUGGCGGUGCUAUUUGGGGAGGUUGUAGAACCUUGAAGAGGUGGAGCCUUGCUGAGGGAAGCAUAUUACUAAGGAACUGGCUUUGAAGUUCAUAGUCUGGCCCCACUUCCGGUUCUUUUUCUCUACUUCCUGUCAGCUUCCUGCUGCCUCCAUGCUUCCUCCUCUUCCCUGCCAUAAUGAUCUCUAUUCCUCUAGGACUGUAAACAGAAAUAAACCCUUUCUUCCUAGAGUUGCCUUUGGUCGUGGUGUUUUUAUCACACAAUGGACAAGGAAGCAAUACAACCUCUUGAUAAUCUAAUUCAAGAUCAAUCUGUUUCAGGUUUCAGGUUGGGUUCUAGUCUUUGCAAAAUCUUGCCCACUUCUGAUUUGUCCUAAUCCAAAGUUGAAGCCUCCCAGCGGUCCAGUGAGAACCCAGGAUCUUCACACAGCUCUCCAACAUCAAGACCCAAUGAGGCUGUCAGUGACUCUGCUCCUGCCCCCAACUGCCACUUACUACUAAGCCUCCCUACCUUCAAGGUUUAUACUGCUUAAAAUGUCACAAACAUCUGCAGGUAAAAAGCCACUCAGACUUUCAGGCUGAAUUCUCUUCCUUUUUUUUUUUUUUUUUUUUUUUUAUUAGCUUUCGAUAUGGCUUCAAGUUCUGUCUUCCAAAGGACCCUUGAACACCAAUUUCUGCUUUCUCAGCCCAUGAGGUGCUGAAAGCUAAACCCAGCUAGUCUGUCUUCCAAUUGUUCACACUCCCUCUGACCAGCAAUAUCCAUUGAGAGGGAAACUUAAGGGAAUGCUGAGUUCAUCAAACCUCUUGAUCUGACUUCUGCAUUUCCUGAUUUUAUGACUUUGUAGCUCUUUGAUAUCUUCAAAUAAGAGUCCAUCUUAUUUUACUCAUCUAUCUGUCUGUCUGUCUAUCUAUCAUCUGUCUAUCUGUCUGUCUGUCUGUCUGUCUGUCUGUCUGUCUGUCUAUCUAUCUAAGUUCUCAAGAUAUAGCCCUGGCUGGCUGAUCUGAAACUCACAAAGUUCCACCUGCCCCUGCCUCUGGAAUGCCAGCAGUAAAGUGUUUGUGCCACCAACCCCUCCCCCUUUCAUCUUCAACUUUUAAACUUGAGUUUGUUACUUCUUCUGUAGAUUCUGUUUUAAUGAUGUCAUUACUUGUCCCAUCUCUGGUCACCAGUGUCUAACCUAAGUGAUGCUAACAUCUCUCUCUUCACACUUGUUUUUCUUUCAUUCUGAAUGCUCUUGACAAAGAUCACCAUAUUAUUAUACCUGGGUAAUAUAGGCCCACAGCAACUGUUAGGACUCAUCAUUGACUGAACACCACCGCCAUGUACACUUGCAUAGAUAUUUUUUCUUUUAUUUUUGUCUUAUUUGUAGUGCUUAGUACCUUUACCCAUGUUAUCAUCUUGUUGGCCCUUGGGUUUUUGUUUCUACACCCUUUAAUUUGUUUGCCUCACUGACACUAGGCUAAUGUUGCUUAGUAUCUACCAACAGAAGAACUAAGCCAGAUUUAGUAAAACUACCUGCUGGUUACUUUGAGAUUGUUGACUGUGAAAUUCAGAGCUCUUAUCUGAAUCCAAGUCCUUUGACUCUGGCUUGAGAUUCUGUACUCCCUGGCUUUAAUUCAAUCACAUACCCUGUGUCUCAGUUACACACACUGCCAUUUUUCAAGCUGUGUCCUGCAACACAAUAGUGACCUUCAGGAAGUGAAUACUGUCCCUUGAUAAAAAUGUACUGUGGUAAUUGAAUUUAACCAAAGGCAAGUAGUUCUCUUGCACAACCUCUCAAAGCCUUUACUAUUCUGAAAUAUAUGUGUGUGUGUGUGUGUGUGUGUGUGUGUGUGUGUGUGUGUGUGUGUGUGUGUGUGUGAGAGCCUUCAAUUGAGAGGAAAAUUAUAUGCUAUUUCUCAACACUGUUUGAAUAUGAAUCCCAUUUAAGGGGCCACCACUUAUCUCACAAGAUGCCACUGUUCCAAGGAACACAUUUUUAGAUGAACAAACACAGACACCUCUUUAUUCCCCAAACACUCACAUUCUCACACAGGCCUCUCAGAUAGGGGCUGCAUUUCUCCAUCAAGGUUGCCCUCCAGGGCACAUUUAGCAAUCAUUCUGGCUAGUACAGUGGGAAGCACUACCUAGUGUGUUGGAGCCAGGGUUGUGGCUACACCUUCUAGCAUAUGCAGGACAUAUGAAGUCCCCAUAGUCUGCUCUGUCCCCAAGGACCUUUACUGUGUGAACAGGUGUGGUCCUCACCUCCCAUUCCACCAAUUCACAAUUUUCAUUGUGUAGUGACAUGUUUUUUUGUGGAAAUAUGAAAACAUACCUUCUAGGAUUUUGUAACGUUUUCUGGUGUUUUCAUUUCUGGAUGAUACAGUAGUCAUAGUUUAUAUUUUGCCAAAGCUACUUUGCACAUGUUAGAAGUAAUCAGAAAUAUUUAGUCCAUAUUAUCCAAUGUCUUAUGAACAUGGACGUGCCUUUAAACGACGUUUCUUUUCUUAAGACUUGCACCCACAUUGGAGGGUCCCUCAUGGCUGAAAAGAAAUGCAAGCAAAGCUGUAGUCCUGGGUUUUACCUGAGUUAGACAGGAGCAGAGCAAAGAGGCACCAAAUACCAGGCUCCUGGAGAAUUCCUUUAAACAGAGUAACAACAAUGGGACAUUAACGUUUUAAUUAACAACUUUAAUGGCUAACCCCAAAUAACCCUCCUGCUUUGGAAGGAUUAAAUUUCAUUUGACAAAAUCAUUGAUGCAUGUGGAAAGAAGUCUCAUGUGCCAAUUACACUACACCAGGGGCUCAGGGAGGCCACGGCUGGGGGAACUGCUGUCCCCGGACCAGUGAAAACAGCCCUGCUCCUGAAGUCAGGCUCUUAAAACCAAUCACAAGAAGCUGGGCAUCAUGGCAGGCCUACUGGGAUGAUGGAGAGGAACCCACCCUUAACCUCAAUUAACAAGCAACUUUAUUUCCUUGUGUGUUUCAUUGACUCCUUGUCCACCUCCCUCCAUCUCUUUUCCACUCUUGAUUUCCCCCCAAGCCAUUAGAGAUUCAGUAUAUUUAGAUGGUGCCUAAUUUAUAAUCCAAAUAUCGCUGUGAGAAAUUAAAGAAGACACAGCAGGAAGGUAACGCUGCUAUUGAGUCGAAAGCAUCGAUGCUAUUAAAAUGUCCAUACUACACAAAGUGAUCUACAAACAGUGUCGUUGCUGACAAAAAUCCUUACUAUCGUGGUUUAAAAAUGAUGGUUUUUCUUUCUUUCUUUAAUUUGCUGUUUUAUGAGUUUUAAUUUUGUGUAGGUGUCUAUGUCUACAUGCGGGUAUGUGAGCAUGCAGCCAGAGACUUUGGGUCCCCUGGAGCUGGAGUUACAGUUGUGAGCCACCUGAUGUCGAUGUCAAGAACUAAACUCAGGUCCUCUGGAAGAGCAGCACAAACUCUUAACCGCUGAGUCAUCCCUUCAGGCUCUAGUUAUUUUUUAUUUUUUAUUUAAUUUAAUUAAAAAUAUUUUGGGUGUGUAUGUAUGCAUGUGCUUGUGUGUGUGAGCACCUGCUUGCUUCAGGUUUUAUAAAGGUUUUAUAAAGAUCAGAGGUCAACUUUCAGGGGUCAGUUCUCAUAACCCACCUUGUUGGAGGCAGAAACUCUUCUGUUUGUGAACUGUAGUGACUACUUCAGGCUAACUGGCCAUUGAGCUUUCAGAGGGGGUGGUUCCCCUGUCUCAGCCCCCCACCUCACCAUAGGAGUGCCGGGUCACACAUGCGUGCUACUGAAUCCAGCUGGUACAUGUGGGUUCUAAGGAUCCAAAACUCUUACCCACGAGCCACCUUCCUAGCCGCCAAAUUUUCAACAAUGAUUUCCCACACAUUUACUAGCCGAUGUCCCACACGUCUCUGUCAGUAAAAACCUUUCUUCUCCUGUUUGCUGCAUUGUUAAUUCAUCCACUUCUGGAGUAUGAACUCACAGAUUUUUUUUUAAAUUGUGAAACAAAUGUUUAUUGGAAUUUUUCAAAUUAGUUGUACAAUUAACUCAUGGUAAGUUACCGGGCAGAUUUUAUAUUAUUUCUUUAAGACUACCGUUUCUCAGUGACUUCAAACUUUAAGUUUUCAAAUUUGAAGGUAGGAGAAGCUCUGCUCAGCUCUUGCUACUACUCUGGGGCAGUAGCAGCAGGUUCCCUAAUGUCUGGCUUUGAUACGGACUCUCUUACCCCAUCAGUGAUGAGUUUCUCUACAGGAACAAUUUCCUUAUUAAAUACUACUGCCAUCACACAAAUGUUCCUCAACAAGUGCUCAGAGACAGCCCAGCAAAGGACAGUGGAGAGCCCUCAGAGCCUCAGAAGACCAGUGUCCUGUGGUGCUUGCACUGAGUCCUGAUCUGCCACAGGUGCCACCACAAUUCUAGACAUGUUUUUUCAAUGGCUUAGAAUUCACUUCUUCCCUCCCCAUGUUGGUGCUUAAGUUGCUCCAGGACUGGCUGGUAGAAGCCCCCUCCUCUGUUCUUGUACUUGCCCCCUAUCAUGUUUAAAGUUCUCACUCAGUGUAUGACAAAACAACAUUUAGCCAAAGAAAGGAAAAAAAGAGAAAGCCAUGGGAGAGGUAGAGAGAGACAAAGAGGGGCUAUGUGAGGAGAUUGACAGCACAGGGGCAGACUAGGGGCCUUCUGUGAGAAGCGGCCCGUCCACCAUGACUUAAAGGCCAGAGUGCUGCAUAUGAGAGGCAUUGGUGGCUCCUGCACUCUGACACCAUUCUUGACAGUUAUAAAUGAUGCAGGCACAACCCAAGAGGGACUGGGGAGUGGAGAGGGGAAUGAUCCUCAGUUUUUGGCAUCCAUUCAAGCAUCUAGACACAACUUUAUUUGAAAUGAUUCCAUAUUUUUCAAUUGUAUAUACAUGUCUGUAUAUAGUAUACACAUAAAAAUAUAUGCAUAUAAUAUAUAUUAUACAAGUAUAUCACACACACAUAUAUUUGGUCUAAUGUAUAUUUUCAUUCUUCGUAUGCCCUCCACCCCCAGCUCUGCUCGACUUUUUACUGUGUUGACCUUGUUUUGGCUAGCCUCUUCUCCCAAGGAAGCAAGAGUCCCUCCUGAGCAAUUCUAUAUUAACCAACAAAAAGAAGCCUCUUUGCCAUGGCUGGGACAAAAGUCCUUCAGUGUCUGUGACUAGCUCAGAGCCUUUCUACACCUGGUUGGGUAGCACUCUCCUGAGCCAGGCCUGGGCUAUGAACUCUCCUGUAGAACAGGAAGUGUGGGUGAAGCCUGCCAAAACACACAGGCUGGAAGCACAGAGAUGGCCAGCUCACCCAAGAACUCUGGAGUGCACUUACCACAAUGAGAAAGGAAAAUUUGGAAACCUGACUGAAAAAAUCUCAUGCAUUGUGUGGGGAACACCGGGCAUGAUGACUGUGAGAUUGGCUGAUAAACCAAGGUGUAGCCAUUUUGUCAGGACAGCCCUUCCUCCCUCUGCACAAGACCCCUUAUAAGAAAGAAGCCCCUGAAGCACCCUUGGAGAUUGAAGCCCCUGUCCAUCUGUCCUUGCUGCUGGCCUGGGGACAGAUGACAGAACUGCCAGAGAGAGGAUGAAAAUAGGUCCAGCCCUUCUUCCUAAGGAAGCUUUCCAUCAAGACGGGCUCCUGUUUCAUCAUUUUCUCCUCUGCCUGGCAGGUCCCACAGGGACGUGUCUGUCACAGUGCUGUGUUACGUCAUGUCAGAUGGCAAUCGAAGGAGCUGUUAACUUAAGCUGACAGAGAGCUGUGGCAAUCUGCUUAUCUGGCUGCCACCCUCACUGAGUAAAGGGCCAUUAUCAGAAUUAUUCACACAGUGUUACAGCAGCUGCAAGUCUACAUUACAUCACCCUCACUUUAGUCACUCAGCACAAAUGGGACCUCAAAGGAGACUGCCCCCCCCUCCAUGAGAGGCCACCCUUCCCCUACACACCCAACAAGAAUGUGACAUCACAUUAGGUCAACCUCCAGUGUGCCUUUCUGUGCCCAGGAUCUACCUUCUGUGUUCCUUCCACAGGUGUGAGCAGUCACACAUGAGACCCCUGUUGAGAUGCCUUCCAAUUAGACCUGUUCUUGGAAUGGUCCUUCCAAUGCUGGUGUUCAGUGGUCCAAAGCUAUUCCACUGACCUGUAAACUUCAGACUGGUCUUCCACAAGUGCUGUGUGUUUCACACAAGGAUUGCAAAGGAGAAAACACAAUGUUCUUAGGUCGAGGCUCUUUCAAGAGUCCAUAGACCCUCCCCAGCUUGCUCACAUGAAGCCAACCAUGAUCUCCACCCUGGACACACCCCUCCUACGCCUCCUCCUCCAACAAGCCUCCACCUGCAAGGCAAACACACUCAAAGUUCACCCGACACACGCACAUUCCCAUGCAAACCCAACAAAAUUGAUGGCAGAAACUGUGGGAAAGAGGCAUGAAGAGAGAAUGUGGUUAACAAGGUGGGUUCUGAGGCGUGGGCUUCUUCAUUGCUACAAUCCAAUAAUAACAUGAAAGAAUAACACAGACUGAACUGGAAGGCAAGCAGGGCAGGAGGAAGAUCAAGGAUUAGAGGGGAUGGUAGAAAGUCUCUUUAAUCUGUUUACUGGCUUAGUCUCAAAACAUGUUUCAAAGUGCAGCUAUGUCCUAUAUUAAACAACACUUCAGAGCCGGGUAGCAGCUCUCACCUCCCCCCCACCCCCCGGUUUGCCUGCCCCAGAAAACAGUGCCUUCGAAGAUGUCUUCUCUCAUUGGCUCAGGGUGGACAUCUUAAUGUUCAUGUGACAUUUCCUAGGUGUGUCUCUGUGUCCCAACUACCCCCUUGGAUACAGAUACCCAGCCUAAUCUGAUUAGGGCCUACCCUGGUGACUUCAUUGUGAUUCGAUCACAUCUGUAAAGACCAGAUAUCCAAAUAAACUCGCUUUCUGAGGUACUGAGGCACAGUGGACAUCAAUCCAGAUCAAGGGGGUGUGGGUAUGGCACAGAUCCGGCCAUGAUGCUCUGGUUUCCCAACCUGGUACUGACACAUCAUCACUUUUCCUUCAAGUCUUUUCAGUGUCUGAAUACAUCCGACAGACUGCCAUCUAUAGCUUAUGGGAAGAUCUUGAAAUGGGAGGCAUCAUGAGACCAAAGACCUGGGCUUUCUCUCCCUCAAGAUCUUAAAGCUACUGGCUGCUGAAGGCCGGAAGGAGUUCUGAGCCCCUCAAGGCUAUGAAGUGCCCCAGUAGAGGUCUUCUUUCUUCAGGUCUCCUCAGCUGAACUCUGAGUAGUUUGUGGCUAUGACAACUGUCCCACAAGGAUGUUUGUUUUGGCGACUUUCUGUCACUAUGACAAAAUACCCCCAAAUAAGCAACUUACAAGGAGGAAAGUUUGUUUGGCUUGUGGUUUCAAUCUACAGUCCCAUGCUCUUGGUCCUAUAGCAAGACAGAAUAUCGUGGUGAACUGCAAUGGUGCAGGAGGCUGAAAGGAGAGAGAGAGAGAGAGAGAGAGAGAGAGAGAGAGAGAGAGAGAGAGAGAGAGUAGCCCCAGGGUCCUAAUAUCCCUCUCAAGGCCAUGUCUUUGAUGACCUAUCUUUCUUCUACUAGGUAUUAUGAUAAAUCUUGAGGGGGACCUUGGUGGAUUCCAUGGGGGACAAACACCCCAGGCAGACAGAGCUUAAGUGAAAAGUUUUAUUAGAAAGGGGAGGGAGGGGGAAGGAAAGAGAAAAGAGGUAAAGAGACACAGAGACAGAGAGAGGACAGAAGAGAAGGGGGAGACAGGAAAAGUCCUGUCUGCCCCAAGGGAACCACAGGGAAGAGAGAGCAGGAAAGAGAAGAGAGCAGAAAGAGAGGGAAAGAGAGCAUAAGUGGGUGGGGGUCUUUCUUUUAAAAGGUCCUUUGCACCUUCGUGCAGACUACACAAUCAUGGAACCCUGGGCUGACCAGGGUACUGCCUGAGUGCAUUCUGCCAGGUGACAGGGGCAGGCCAGCAUAAUGCCUGAAUCCUUACAUUAGGUCCCAUCUCCCAGAAGUUUCACUGUCAUCUGAUAGCACCAUAGGCUGGGGCCAAGCUUCUAACACAUGGAACUCGGGGAACAUUCCAGGCCUGAACCACAGCACAGCUGUAGGGCGGCUGGUGUCUCUGAGCAUGACUCUCCUUUGGAUGUUCCCUGCUUAUUUUAGUUAAAAAGAGCAUCAUGAGACUGUGACACCGUCUCGCUGGAUUCAGGUGACUUUCACUUUUUGAAGCAGUGAACUGAUGCUCCUGACUUGGGCUUUGCAACUGGGGUAUAUGGAUGACCCUGCUUGCUUUAAUUACAUCCCCCAAGCAAGUGAGCGAUGGGGAGCCUCCCUCUCUUCUCCCCUUCAUGGCCCCAGACAAGAAAAACCAAGUCUAUGUGUGCUGAGAAGCCUUCUCCCUGCUCCACAGCGCCCCACUUUGCACCCCUAUUCCCCACCCCUCCCCCAGCCAUGAGUAAACUUUUUGAGCUAGUUCCUGUUUCAUCUUCUUCCUGUUAAUUAACACGAAGUACCUGGUGCUGAGAAGUGCCCGGCUAUUUAGUUCAGAGCAGACAAGUCUAAACACAGGCCUACCAACUACAGGAGGAAAAAGGAUUGGAGGGGAGACUUGGCUCAUGGAUCCAGGGGCUCCAACAUUAGAGAGAAGGGCUUCUAGAAGUAUCACCUGCCCUUUGUCGCUUGUCCCAGCUUCUCAUUCGCUUCCUGAAUCACCCACACAAGUUCUAGCCUUUGCUCAUGUAGGUUUUACAGAACAGUCACCAAGACAGCAUUCUCUCGUAGCAAGCAGGGCUUUCCAGAGGGUAUGCCCUUCACACCUUGUGUGGACACAGGAGCAGUGUGGAGCUAGAGAGGAGUGGGCAGAGGGAAGGGUCAGGCAGCUGGGAUGAGGGACAAAGGGACCCCCAGAGAGGGACUUCACUUGCUUGGGAAUUCUGCCCCGAGGACAGCCUUGCUCUGUGGCUACUGAUCAAAAAAUGUCAACUUGAGGUCACUUUAGUCACUGCCGUCUGCCAACAAGGACAAAGGCCAUUCUGUGGCCAGGGAGCCCAAGGCAAGAGGCUGGGUGUGGAGGAGGGAUGUCUGUGAUGAUGCUCCCAUAAAAACGGACUUCAGUGAGUGGAACCGGCUUUCCCUGAGAAGAGGAACCUGGUGCAAAGGGUCUUAAUGUCUUCUCUGCUUUACCGCAACACAGUCAUGGAAAGAAAAAUGUGUGUGUAUCAGGAUUUCCUGGGUACAUUUGCCUUCUAAGAAGCCUCACGACCUGAGGGUGACACGUGGCCAUCCAAAGAGUCUUUGUUUCAUUCUGAGAAAGUCCUCCGAGGGGAGUUAACUUAGUGCUUUCUGUUUCAGCUGCUGAUACAAAAUUCAGGGGUGUAGGUCCCUGGUAAAGCCCUACUUAGCAUACACAAGGCCCUGAAUUAAAAUACCAUCACCCCCGAAAUGAAACAAACAUGAGUGAGGACUUUAAAUCAACCAAUAAUAAGGCACUCCAUAAAUCUGCAUAUUCUGAGACUUGACUAGGAUGUGGUCACACAGCCUGGUUCCCUGCAGUCUCCAAAUCACAAAACCAGUUUCCUGUGUGCAAGGCAUUUGCAUCUGAGGUGAAGAUUUAUAGGAGAUGGCCACCAGAUGGUGUCUUGGUUCUCCUCAAGCUAUAUUCUGCUCGGCUUUACUCUCUUGUUGAGAGCAGACAUUAUAACAUUUCUUUGGGAAGAACAGUCAAUUCCAGGGGAGAUGGUGGGACCCCAGGAGCCACAAGUUAUCAUUUUAUUUAAUCAGUCUGACAAGACUCCAGGCUCAUAAACACAGGAAAGACACAGCCAUUGGCCAGGAGUUAAUGGAAGAGCAGAUUUCUUCACACAGUGGGAUGCAGCCAUUAAAGCCCUAUCGGCUCCCGACAUGCAAACCUGACUCAGGGCUAAUUGCUCCCCACUGGCAUGUCGAUGCUGGAUUCAGAGCGUCUGGGCAAAGUCGCUGAAGAGGGACCGAGAACUCCUCAAUCUUACAUAAACCUCAAUGACUUUCAAAACACGUUUUUAUUUCUCUUCUCCCUUUUUCUCUUAAGACAGGAUUUCACCUAUUUGAACUCCUAGCAGUCCCCCUGUCUCAGCCUCCCAAGUAUUGGGGUUUUAGGCAUGUGCCACAAUGCCCUGAUGAAUCAUUUGAGUUUUAAAAUUGCUUUUCAACAGCUGAUAGGACUUGUUUCUCUUUCAGUAUAAAGCAGGAAUUUAAGUUGGAAGACUUACAAAAGAGCUUGGUGACUGGGACAAUGUACUUCUUACUGUUUUUCUCAAAGACAGAAGCUGGCCCAGAUUACAGGCUCAAUUUCUUACUCUGCCUAUGGGGGAGGGAGAGUUGGGGAACUCUGACUGAAGGGGGCGGAGUGGUGUUCCUGAAGGGGGGUGGUGUUACUGAAGGAGGGGGAAUCUGUGUUAUUGCAGGGGUGGUGUUACUGGAGAGAGUGAGCAGACCUGCUCCCAGAUGCUUCCAGAUGAAUAUGAGUCUCUAAGUGCAGUGGGGGCAGGGUUAACAAUGACCUUGCAGUUUGAGAUUCUGUUCUCUGGUGAAACAGUUCCAUUUGCCUCCUUGGACUCGGCUUUUCCUCCUUGGAAGUCGAUGAUGUGUAAAUGUUACACUGCUUUCUUACCUGCACUCACAUGCCCCUUAGACGUUAAGAUGGAAGAAUUUUUGUCUCCACUACUUCCCCUUCACUUCCCAAGUCUCCAGGCAUCAGAGUCCCAUUUCCACUCUCCAGGGUUUGUCUCAAAGCAUGGAGAUGUGGCAGGCAUCGUUAGUGUGACCAGCAUGUCUCUUAAGCUAGCUAUAGCUAAGAGUCAUUCACUGAGGACAACUCUGUGACUUCUCAGGGCCCCGGGAUUUCCCGACAUGCCUGUUGUGAGCUCAUCUGUGCUUCCGACUGGUUCUCCUUGAAAAGCCUAUGUGGAAGCCCAAAGCCUGAGUCUGUAGGAAGGCAGCUGUCACAAUUAGGAGUCUAUCUGAACAAGCCACGCCCAGUUUAUUUUCAGUAAUGGGCAUGAGGCUGUCUAUCCAAGGCUUCCCCCAGAGUCUUUAAAAGGGGGUUUGAAUGGGUAACAACUGUCUCUGGCAUUGAUUUAAAAAAAUCCAUGCUGGCUGGGCGUUGGUGGUGCACGCCUUUAAUCCCGGCCCUCAGGAGGCAGAGGCAGACAGAUCUUUGUGAGUUCGAGGCCUGCCUGGUCUACAGAGUGAGUGCCAAGACAGGCUCCAAAACUAUACAGAGAAGCCCUGUCUCGGAAAAAAAAAUCCAUACUGGUGUGGCAAGUAUCUACUUCUUAUAAUUGUUUUGGGUGCCCGUUCUGUCUCUUUUCAAGGAAAGAACUGAUUAGAACCGCUGAGUAGACCCAGGGUCUCCUAUCAAUUGAGCAGUGGCUAUGGCAAUACUGUGCCCUUAGGAGUCAAACCUACCGGCUAAGCUCUUAGCUUUGCCACGUGGAAGCUGUAAGGGUUUGCACCAUUUUACCACUGGGAACACUUUUCCAUUUCAUUCCCACGCCAGUCAGGCAGGGCUGCGGGGAAAUUGGGCUUCCCCCUGGAGCGCCUGCAAGCUGAUGGUACGACUGGCUGUGCGCCAUCUGCUGGUAGGUGGAGGUAAACCGACUCUUUAGGAGACGGGUGCACCUUUAGGGCAACAAGGACUUUUCAAGGAUUUCAUCUUGCCCUCUGAUUUUCUUUGAAAGAAAUUCAGAAUUAAAGGGGAUGACAGAUUUGACUGAGUUCUCACAGUAGUAGAGUCUGGAGGUUAAGAGCAAGUAUCUUGGCGUCUUCUAGUCUAAAUCCCGCCUUGGCAGGCAAGAAUGAGUGUAACCUUGGGCAAAUUUCGAAACUUCUCACUAAUCAGUUUCCUUAUCUAUCAAAUAAGGAGCAUAAUGCUCACCACCUCAGGGUUUUUAAAGAAGAUUAAAUGAGGCAGUGCAUGUGGAAGUGCUUAGCACUUUGUCUGACCCCCGUAUGAAGCAUACUGCUAGAACAUUCUUUAUCCGGCAGCUGAUGAUUUGUAUUGACAAUUUUUCUUAGGGACGACAGUAUUCAAAUUAGUUGUUUAGGUUUCAAAAUAAGAGAGUGAAGCACCCCAGACAGCAUGGAAGAAGAAAACAGCAGGCAGACAGGUGUUUGGCGUUAAUGAAAGGGGUUUUGGGAGCCAUCAUGGGUCAAAUUCAUUGCCAUGGACUAAACAGGCUGAGUGAAAGAGGAAGGGGACCUGAGCAUGGGACUUGUGUCCCAGAGUAAAGAGGCUGGUGGGGGCAGACAGAAAGUCUCACCUGGCUCCCAAGAGACCCACUGGAACCCCCACAGUCUAGACUCUUCUGCAGCUUCCUCUGGUUUUGUAAUAUUGACAUUUAGAAAGACCACUUUCUCAGAGCUAUAAAGACUAUAGCCUUCAAGGAGGCUUGAAUAUUUCCAAUCCUUUGUGAUCUGGCCAGGAACUCUGUUGACCUGAAGUCUGGAAGCAAACACUCUAUUCCACCUCUUCUCCUGUUCGCUAGUUGAGACAUUCUGAGUGUCUGGUCCAGGUCAAGGAGUAAGAGCCUAAACCAAGCAUCAGUAGAUGCCAGCCUCACAGGGCACAGAUCAGGGCAAAAUGGGUCUGAGAGGAAAUGCAGACAAUCUCGCAGAUCUGAUAGCUCUGUGUGGGUGUGCAGAGGAAGCUGGCAGACAAAUACUAUCUGUACUCAGGUUGGAGAUGUUCUUUAUGGCCUCCUGCGAUGCUUGUAUUUUUCUGGUACUAUUUUCUUUUAUUUGUUUCGGGUUUGGAGGAUGGGGUCUCAUGUAGCCCAAGCUGGUCACAAAUUUUCUAUAUAGCUGAGGUUAGCCUUGAACUCCUGAUCUCUUUGCCUCUGCCUUCAGAAUCCUGGCAGUUAUAGACAUGCACUAUCAUACCCAAUUUGGCACUAUUUUUUAACUGUCACACACAUGCACACAUUAAAAAAAAAUCCUUCUCCUUGUUCUUAGGGUGUGUAUGACACAGUAUCCAACAUGCUUGGAGUUUUAGACACUUAGGGGGAAUGAAUGGGGAGACAAACAAUUGUGCCUUUGAGAACACCCCCCUGCCCCCACCACCAUGUUUUUCAGCAGACAUCCUUCUAUGCUGGAUCUGUAGAGCACUGAGGAAGAAGAGAAGAAAAUGAAGGUGAAAUGGGUGUGCAGAGAGGGCAAGAAGACAGCUCCAUGGCCUACAGCAGCAGCAUGGGUAGUUUUCUUCACUCUCUUUUUCCUAGGCCAUGGAUGCACUCAUUUAAUCCAUUAGUAUUUGUUGAGAAUACCAUCUGUACCAGGCACUAUGCCAAAUGCUGACAAACAGCGCAUAGGCUUGCCUAAGGAGUUCCACAAUCUGUGCCAUCGACAUCCUGGUACCGUCUACACCAAGCAGUUCACUCCCCACAGUGACACCAGCUUCCUGGCAGAGGCCUGUCCUGGCCAAAGUAGGGUUCUGAAAAUUUAGGAAUGGUUCGGCAUGUACUGAUUCAGAAACACAGUUGGAAGACAACUAGAUGAGGUAGACGAGGAAGGUGAGAUGGAGUCAGCCAAAAGGCUUCUUGGGAAAAUCUUGAAAUAGGAGGACCCAGGGUCUGAUUCUGGGGGUCAAGGCAAGGCAUAUGCAGGAGGCUGGGAGAAGCAGGCAGUACCACACUUGGAAGGACAUAGGGGCAGAUAGCAGCUCUUUACCUUACUCUAAAGUGUGUCAUAUUUCCAUGAAGAAGAAACCUAAAAAACACCAAGAUUUUUAUGUUUUAUUUUUAUGUAUAUGAGUUUUGCCUGCAUGUAUAUGCACCACGUGCCUGCCUGGCACCUGUGGAAGUGGAGAUGGGUGAUCGUGAGCCACUAUGUAGUGCUGAGAGUUGAACCUGGGUCCUCUACAAAAGCAACAAGUAUGCUUAACUGCUGAGCCAUCUCCAGCAACAGCAGCUUUUAGCACAGUCAUAGCUUAGAUUAGCCAUAGUGAUAGUAAGAUACCUACCUGGUGGCUGAGAAAAGGAGCAGGGGUUUCUUUCAGUAAGUUGCAAGAUCAGUGACAAAGGCCUGACUUGGUGUCAAUCACAGAUGAGAUACAAGGGAUGCCACCUUCCCUAAAGUGAGGUCUAGGGAAGAUGGCAUCCAGGAAUGUCACUUUCAGCAUCUGCCCCAGGUCACUAGAUUUUUCAAUUUGCACUGUGCUAAUUCAGUGUAGGCAGGGCAAGAGCUCCCUCUCAGUGGACAUUUGCUCCAGAGCACUGAGCUUCUCUCUGUGCACCAAUUCAUAAUUGGUAUUGGAGAGCAACUGUGGUCUUGGAGCGGGGGUGUUCUCAGCAACCCUGAAUGCCAUCAGAGUGUGUUGGAAUACACUGUAGCUGCAGCGCCAUGGGAAGACGUGCUCUCAGGGUCUAAGGUGGGAUCUGCAAGGUGUUUCAAUAGGAUAGUCCAUAGGUCUAGGUGCCUUUUCUAUUGAUUUGUUAUACUGGGGGUUGAAUUCAUGGCCAAACGCUUGCUGGGAUAGUGUUCAAAAAAAAAAAAAAAAAAGGCAAAUGAAAGAAUUUUAUUUUAAGACAAGCUCUUUCUGAGUUGCCCAGGCUGGUCUCGAACUUACAAUUCUUCUGCUUCAGGUUCCACCUGCUACUACCUGGGGCAUGCACCACUACACCUGGCUUCUGAUGCUUCUCAGUCUGAGCCUCACUCAGGUGAAGGGGGCUCUGGCUCCAUUGUUUCUCCACCUUCCACCUCUGAUGAGAUGACUGUGUUGUCACAUUCUUCCUGGGAGCUGAUGUGGAACAGGCUGAAGUAAAACAUGCUCCGCAAACCCACUCAGCAAGCUCACCUGGUUUCCUUCCGACUGGCUGCCUGUGUGAGACGUCACCUCCUCCACUGACAGGACUUCCUCCAUUGACAGGAAGGCCCUUUCCCCACCAGGAAGUAGAAAACAUGUAAAAAGCAUUGGAGGAGAAACUGAACAUCAAAACAGGCUGUCUUAGACUGGUAACUGUGCAACGGAGUGCUGUUGUAGAGAGAUUUAACAGUGGUUACUGGAUGAUUGUAAUGAAAGAAACUCAAGGUUACUGCUUUUGAAGUGAGUGUUGCUGGGUUUUUAAAAAAUGCCUUUGGAGUUUGUAGAGCUUUACAGGAAGGAGCCGUGGUGAAGAAGCAGGGGCUCUCUGUGUGAUACACUCUGCAGCCCAGUGAAGAUUUGCAAGUCAAACCUCAUUUGCAUCUAAUUUUCAGAACAGAAGUCACAACAGAUUACUUCAAGGUGAAAAAUUCUGAAGACUCUUGGGAAUUUCUUCAAUUAGACCAGGACAAAGAAAACAAAGCUAGGAAAUAAAAUGGGACUUAAAACUUUGCUGUGUGAAUGUGCGGGGGUUGACACGUCUAUAGCAAUUCUAGAGAAGGACCGUCAUGCAUUGCCCUAGUGCGCCCCUUUGGGGCUGGGCUAGUUUGAUUCAAGAUGCUAAUGGCAUUAUUUUUAAAGCUAAACCUGACAAUGUAAAGUUCUAGUUUUAUAAAAUCUGCUAACCUAUUGUAAGAUGUUAAAAAUAUAAAUUAAUACAGUUUUUAUGUUUUCAGAAGUUAAGCUUAAGCAAGCAACUAAAAUGUGUACAUGUAGCUACUGUUUAAAGAAUAUAAGGUAACUCUAUAUGCAAUUUAAAUUCAACUGUGCUAGGUUUCAGAUAUUUUACUAAGUUAAAACCAGUUACGGUCAGACUGAAAAUUAAUUAAUUACAGAAAUAAGGCCUUACCUAGCCAUCUAUGUGCUUAAGGCAAGUAACUAAACAGACAGACCUCUAAUGCUUCAGAGACCUGCAGAAUAUGGCAUUUAAAAGUUGUUUUAAAAGUUUAUAAUAUCAGACAGACCAACAAAUCCUGACAAUGACCCAUAGUCUCCAAAGAAGAUUAUGAGGCACCCCAGUUCCUGCACCUGGAUGAUGACAACGACGCUGACCAGUGAGCAAGAUGCUCAGAUGCAAUACCUACUGCCUGCCAGGACUUGACCAAGACUGUGGACAAAACUGCUAGACACUGAAAAAUUGAUUGCAGCCCCUAUGCCUAGACAAAACAAGGUCAGUCUUUUCCAUGUCCCUCUUCCACAGAGAGAAAAAAACUCUCACCUUAUAGGCCUGGUGAAGACUGCUGUUCUUUGAGACUCCUGCCUCCAAUGCUGGUGGAGACUUGGCUAACUGUAUAUGGACUGGCCCCUGUCACUUUUUAAUAGACUCUGAAACUGUAUAAAAUUUACCCUUCUCAGAUCUCUGAAAGUAUUAAUGGUUGUCAGCUUGACAGCGUCAGGCAGUCAGAUCCACUACAGACUAUAGUUGGCUUGGUAGCUGAUAAAGUAAUGACUGCCUACUGUUCAGGCACAAGCUCAAGGUUUUUAGGUUUAUUUUGGUUGUCAUCUAAGUAUAAACUUAAAGGGCUUUUCAUCAGGCCAAAGGUACCUCUGUCCAAUCCAUACCUGGCUCUCUGGACAGAAGACAAAUGUACACGUUUCUAGCCCAAAUUUAUAGUUUUUGCCAGGACUCAAAAUAUAUGUUCCUGCUGUUUGAACAGAUAACUGGUUUUUUUUGCACUGUGGGUUUCAAUAAAUAAGUUUUAACUUCUGUUCCCAGUUUCAACAUGUCUUAAACAGGUUUCUACUUCUGGCAGACACAACUGAGUAUCAGUUGUUGACUACAGCCUGCCCCUAAAGAACUGCGAGCCCUGGACUUGCUGUGGAUGUGAACCAGUCCAGCUGAGGUGGACACCCCCUAUCUCUUCAACAGAGUCUGCCAACCAGCUGCUUCCCCAUUGCCUGAAUUCCCUUUUUGCUUUUGACUAGCAUUUCAGCCUUUUUGGGUCCCUAACUUCAUCCCAAAGUCGGCAGGAAGUAGCAUGGGAAAGAAUACAUAGCCCAUUUUCUCUAGUUGAAAUACUAAAUCAAAAUAAACUCCCUUACAUAGGGGAUGCCAAUAUCACUCACUCUCUGAUGGGGACGCUGGAGAGACAGCAAUUCCAUAAUUGGAAUCUCCAAAAAGAAAAUGGGGGAAUGAAGGGAUCAGCUCCCCGUUUUGGCAGCCAUAACAGCCUAACAAGUGCUUGCCUGACCUUGCCUUGGUCACUAGGAGGUCAGAUGCCUGCCUCAUGGCAAGGAACCAAACAGAAGUUAGAUGGUGGUGCUAUGCUUUACGGCUAUGGGUGUGCUUUACAGACAAGUGCGCAGCAAUGACGUGCAGAGCAUAGCCCUGGGAGGGCCUAUGUGCCAUGACAGCCAACUGGCCAAUCAACACAGGGCAAGUCCUCCAAUCCUGAAGGCACACCAAUCCUGAGCCUGUGCGUACCCUUAGACACUCCCCUUAUGCUUUCCUAUAAGAUCUCUGUCCCAUGGUUUCUCAGGGUCUUUUCCCAGCCAUCCGCCGUGUUGGAUGGGUGAAAGGCCUGAGCUAAUGGGGUUAGCUCCUUAAACAACUGCAAUAAAUCCUUUUGCUGUUUGCAUCAAGCUUUCCACCUCCGUGAGUGAUUGGGGUCGCUGCAGUCCUGGG
ensembl:lncRNA